rnacentral:rRNA from 1 species
UACGUAGGUGGCAAGCGUUUGUCCGGAAUUAUUGGGCGUAAAGCGCGCGCAGGCGGUCCUUUAAGUCUGAUGUGAAAGCCCACGGCUCAACCGUGGAAGGUCAUUGGAAACUGAAAGGCUUGAGUACAGAAGAGGAAAGCGGAAUUCCACGUGUAGCGGUGAAAUGCGUAGAGAUGUGGAGGAACACCAGUGGCGAAGGCGGCUUUCUGGUCUGUAACUGACGCUGAGGCGCGAAAGCGUGGGGAGCGAACAGG